rnacentral:siRNA from 1 species
UUGGGAAACUACAAACAAACCUA